rnacentral:rRNA from 1 species
CCUACGGGAUGCAGCAGUGAGGAAUAUUGGUCCAUGGGCGUAAGCCUGAACCCGCCAAGUCGCGUGAGGGAUGAAGGUUCUAUGGAUCGUAAACCUCUUUUAUAAGGGAAUAAAGUGUGGGACGUGUCCUAUUUUGUAUGUACCUUAUGAAUAAGGAUCGGCUAACUCCGUGCCUGCAGCCGCGGUAAUACGGAGGAUCCGUACGUUAUCCGGAUUUAGUGGGUUUAAAGGGUGCGUAGGCGGCCUUUUAAGUCAGCGGUGAAAGUGUGUGGCUAAACCAUAGAAGUGCCGUUGCAACUGAGGGGCUUGAGUAUGUUUGAGGCAGGCGGAAAGCGUGGUGUAGCGGUGAAAUGCUUAGAUAUCACGCAGAACCCCGAUUGCGAAGGCAGCCUGCCAAGCCAUGACUGACGCUGAUGCACGAAAGCGUGGGGAUCAAACAGGAUUAGAUACCCUAGUAGUC